rnacentral:tRNA from 2 species
GGGCUAUUAGCUCAGUGGUAGAGCGCGCCCCUGAUAGGCGAGGUCUCUGGUUCAAGUCCAGGAUGGCCCA